CCCCUUUUCUUGUCCGCGGAGGACA
rnacentral:rRNA from 1 species